CUCCACCCCGAUGCCGUCCAUCUCUCUCACUUCUCUCUCUCCCGUUCCCUUUUUUCGCCGCCGCCUUCGUCGGCCGGUUCCGGCGAACGCUGGCGGUCUCCGCCGUCGGUGGCUACCAAUCUCUUCCUCUCCUCGCGCUCUAUAUGAUCCACCGCAUCGAUUCAUCGAUCCCAUCCUCAUGUGGUUGCCCGCAUCGGAUUUACCCGUCUAGGGUUUCGGUGCGGUCGACUUCCUCAUCGCCGGCGAUGCUCCGGCGCCUUGGUCCGGUCGUCUUUGUCUUCUGUCGUGCUCUCUCGUGCUGCUCUGCUUCCUAACGGCGCUCCCGUGCCUCAGAUGCACGCCAGGGCGGCACGGUGAGCAGGUGGGAGGAGAAGGCGGCGGCGAUUUCGAUCUAUUAUUCUGCGUUGACACGGGAGGCGGUAGAGCGGUCUGGACGAGAUUCCUGGUGCCGGUUUCCUCACCAUGCUGAGGCCACCUGCAUCGAGCAAUGGUUGAUGCCAAGGCUUUAAGGACCUGUUCGGGUUCUCUCCGCUCCACAACUACGGCUCCCAGAGCGGAGGGAGGGGCAGCACAAAUCAGGGAGUGGCUCAAACCGAGGUCCUCGUCUCCUCUACAGCUCGGAGCGGAGUUUUGAGAUUGGAGAGGUUGCGAACAGGCUCUAAGAAUGGACUGCAGCUCUGACCCAAGCAGCGUGAAGCUCCUGAGUUGCAUAUAGCAGAUCUCAAGAGAGGUUUCACUGAAAUUUCAGCAUUCUUCUCCAAUAAUGAGCGUUUAAGAAGGUUGCACACGGAAACCUUAUUCAAAUUCACCAACCAGGAGCAUAAAGGGACAUCAAAUAACUUACGCAUGACUAUGAAAUGCACUGAAACUCCCUGGAGAGCAAGCUCCGCUGCACUCUUGUCCAGCAAGGCACCGAUGAAGGAUUCUGUUUUUGGGAGACCUGAUUAUGGGGCCAACACGGUCAUGCAAAUUUUUUUGGCAGCAGAAGGUAAUCUAAUAUCAGGAAGGGGCAUCUCACAAUACUGCAGCUAUUAAAAAGAAUCCAAAACAGAGGCGUCUAGGAGAACGAGCUUUGUUGCUGUUCAUCUCCCAGGAUGGUUAUUGCCAAUUACCAGAACCAUGUCAAGCACAAUAAACUGAGGUCCUUUCAUACUACAUGCCUUCUAUUUCAUUUCUGCAUAUUUGAGAGAGGUGGGCAACUCUCCCUGAGCUGCAUGCUAUAUGGCUGGAAGCCAGAGCUCGGGCCCGACGCCUCCGCUCGCCGUUUCCCACGCCUCCGGCGCCCCUGGUGAUUUCCGUGUGGAUCAGGUCUUCAGGGUGCCAAUAUUUUCGGACGUAGUUGGGCCAGCAAGCUCAGAUCUGAAGGAGAGAAUUGACAUGGGUAGCCGACGAGAGGGCAAGAUUCGUACGUGGCGGUGAAUUUAGAUGGCGGCGGCACCAGUGCGGACGAUGCCAAUAGCAAGGACAGCGAGCCGGCGUAGUCCGAAUAGUGUGGAGUGAAUUGAAGCCGGAUCCGCAAGCAUCCGAGUGGAUUAAAGCGGGGGGUGGAGGUGAUGCGAUCUACUCGGGAAUAAGUGAAUGAUAUCAUUAUGAUGCCAAAUUAGUCCGCAAAUACUGCUGCUUCUAGAAUCUGAAUGUACCCGCUAUGCAUGUUGCAGGCAAUGAACUAUUUUACAAGAUAAAAUAUCAGGAAGGGGCAUCUCAUAAUACUGCAGCUAUUAAAAAGAAUCCAAAUGAGCCCGCGGUAAGGAUUUGGUUUACAGUGGUUAUACUUUAUAUAUCAUCUCAAGGCAACUUUAGCUCAUUGGUUAAAUUUGAUUCUCCGUUCAAUUGGUUAAAUUUGGUUCUCCCUUCAAGUUAGAUGAGCCUCUCAUUAAUAUAAAUUCAGUCAUAGAACAUUAUCAUUUAUAAGUUUUCUUUUUUGUUAUACAUUGUUAACUGUAAGAUAUCCUGAUUACUGUACUGUUUUACUUUGAUGAGUCACCAUCGUCGUCCAGAGACAGGUCGGCAGGGGAGGCUAUGAGGAAUUGGGUACAUCCAAACUUCCCCUGUGAUAUCUUUAUUUUAUUCCUCAGUUUAAGGUCUCUGUUAGUGGAAUAUAUUUUCUUGCAAACUGAAUUGGUUUUCUGGAACAUGUCUUCGUAUUUUUGUGUAUGUCUUGAGCACUAUUCAUUGGAUAUACUUUGUUGCUUCCAGCCCAUGGAUAAGAAUAUUUCAGUCGCUGAAGAGAUUGUUGAACAUAUGACAUUGAUGCAAAUCUCUGGCCACCUACAAGUGAAACUGCUUGAAGACCAAGUUCGAAUAUGUAUGAGCGCAGUGAAGUUCGGCAUGCAAGUCUAUUCGCAGUCUCGCACCCUAAUGUAAUCAGUCGAGUAGUGACGGGAAGGCGCCGCCGACCAGGAUGUGGAGGAAGAUGGGGUUGAGCCGGGUUGGUGAAGGUGUUGUGGCUGGUCGUUGGCCAAGCAGCCGCCUCUCCCUCGUCUUUGACAUCGUGAAGAAUGAUGUUGAAAUGGAUGCGUGCUGCAGGAGCAGCAGAGGCGUCGUGUGAGCCUUGGGUUCUUCAUCAAUUCGUUCGUGCGUUCCCUUGGUCGCAUGCGCGCCUCAGGAUCAGCUCGGAGUUGAAUACUUAACUAGUUCAGGAAAGCUUCAAAUACAAUAGUGGCAAACAUCUCCAUUGAUGCUACAAAGCAUCUCGAUGAUUUUGAAGCGAGUCUUCAUGUUAAUUACAUUACUUUUUGUAUCAUGCCCUAUUGAUCGAAAAGUUACUUAGCCCUAAUCAUCCAUGCUUAAUAAUGAGGAUCGUUUUGGGAUUUUGUUUAGCUUUCCAACACUUCCAUAGUUUAUUAGUACAGAGCUAGAUCUCUCACUGUGCUGAUCACACGUAAUGAAGUCAUUUUACUUGGCUUUCUAGCAACGGGUCAGCAAGUGGGUCAUGAUGAACCAAAUUAUGUUCUCUCUCUUGCAUAUAGAUGCUCACGAUUAUACUGAUCUGAUCAAUUGUAGGUUCCAUAGGAACACUGAACUUGAUUUUGUUGCCUCCUCGUAGCAGGGCCAGGGAAGCAGUGUCAAGUGGAUCCUGGAAGAGCACUGGUGUGGGAUCCGCUGCUGCCAGGUAUGCUUUUCUUCCUUCCCGUCCUCUCGAUCCACUUCCUCUCUUUGUUUCUGAAUUUUGCACUCAAAUUGUGAGGUGAGGCUCAAAAAAUACAGUGGUUACCGACGGCGGCGACGACCACGAAGAUUGUCCCAGCAUCUGGAACAGUGGAUGCAUUGAGCUCGAGAUGACGAUUAGCCACUCCAUCCAUGAUCACUGUUUUCCCCCUUCUUUUUGUGGAGAUGAUUUCGCUACUCUUUAUCAAUGCUGUAAUAACCAAGGUGCAUGUGUGACUCGUUCAAUCAAGUGUGUAAUGAACCCUGCUUAAUAUGCCUAUGAUGCAAUACCA